UGCUUCAACUUCCUCGAUUGUAGACAUUGUCACAAACCCAAACCCACGGCUCUGUCCUGAAUUUUUGUCAUAAAUAACCUCCACCAUCUCCACCGUCCCGGCACUCUCGAACAGCCCCGCUAGCUUGGCGCUAUCAACGCUAAACGGUAAAUUCCCCACAAACAGCUUCAAAUCCGGCGAGAAAUUCGCAUCCCGCCGCUGCCCCUGCCCCUCCUCCUCGUCCUGCUCAAGCUCCGACUCCACCGUCGAAUACCUCACCACCCCCGCUCCAGCGCCCCGGCCACUCCUCGGAGCGGCAUGGAACGACAGCGAAAGCGACGCGUGCUUUAGAGAAAGACGCGAGGGGGAGGAAACGGCUAGGGUUAGGGUUUUGAGCUUCGAGGAGACGAGGGGGAGAUGGGGGGAUAGGGUGGGGAGGAUGAGGGAAUGAGCCGCCAUUGG
rnacentral:misc_RNA from 1 species